CUUUGAACUGAAAUGGGUUUGAGUCUUCUUGGCAUGGUUUAAUAGAUAAUUCUUGCUAAACAGCUGUAAUUCCCUGUCCCUAACAGCAACACAGCUGGGGUUUACCGCAGAUGAGGUGCCACAUUGUACUUGUAGGUGCCACAUUGUACAUCCUGCCUCAUUGCAAAAGAAAGGGAGUCCUAAAAUCAGCUUAAUUGGGCUUGGGGAAUUGGAACAGCAUUGUAAGUCAGUGGGGAGGUAGAGUCAUGGGGUUCAUGGGACUGGGUUAGAGGGUAGCAGGGCCAAGGAUGGAGAAGGUUAGGGGUCAAGGGACUAGCCUCUUUAUUCGGACUGGUGGAGGAAAGUUUUAGGAGGCUAGGGAGGUUUACAGCUUUCCGCCACAUGCUGAUUUUGGUACUUGGAUUGUAGGGUUAGGAGAAAGAGACUGAAUUUCCUCAUUGCCAGCUCUGGCAGCACUCCUCAAGCCUUUCUGGAACCAUCUUAAACUUUUGUUAAUCUGUCUCUUACACACAUCUCCCCAGGGCACCUUUGCUUGGUCUUGCUGUUCUGGUGCCUGUCUCCUCUGCCUGCCACCCCCAUUUCCCUCCAUCCCUAGUGCCCCUUGGUCUGGGCCUGCAGGGCUCCUUUGGAGUAGUUGUAAGGGAGCAGAAAGAGAUAAAAGAGACAGUUGUAGAGAGUCCUGUCUUUGCCUGUCCUUGGGAUGCUACCAAGAUCACUGUCUCCUCUGCCUCUGGUACCCUGGUUAUCUUUGGGUCUUGGUUGCUGUGACAACCGGCUGCGGCUGUAUCCUGUUCAUUGACAUCACACACUGUCAGAAUUUGAUCGCCACAGCAACACAGUGCCCUUUCUAAACAUAGCUCCUCUGUUUAUACCAGUGCUGGGCACAACAGGGAGGGACCGGGCAGGGGCAGAGUGGGGGUGAUGCAAGGGGAAUAACCUCUAGCUGCUUAUUUUCUGGAAAAGAUGUGACAGAGCGCACAGCCCGUAAUUCACAGAAGAGACUCACUCAGGUCACUAUAUUUCAAGGAUGCAGGUGCCCUCCAUGCCGUGGCUCAUGGUAACGACUGGUGCAUAUAUCAUCAGUCCUCUUUGGAAGUGACUUAAACACAUGGGUGAUCCACAAGGCAAUUGUAUGGACAGGAAAGGAUCAUGGUCUGGGUGACAGCUUCUUCCCAGCUGCACUUUCAGAGAGCUACAGCCACAGGGGCUGGAGUUACAUAGACUGUCUGGGGUAAACCUUCUCAACCCUUGACUCCAGCCAGGCCUUCUUAUGCCUCACAUUCCAGCAGCUCCAUUGGAUUUCUCCUGAAGCCAGCACAUAUUUUUCAGAAGGUCAGCUGAGCUGACGUAGCCUGCUUGGAGCCUGAACUCCUAGGACAAAGCACUGUCACUCAGCUGUGUCCCAGAUACAGGACAGCAUAGGAAAUGGCUGGCAUGACACUGCACAUUAGAGGUGCAUGGUGCAGGAGUCAACGUGGUCGGUCUGUGCUAGUUGUAGCAGGGGACAACAAAAAGAGGAACUACAGCAAUUUCUGAAUACGAGGGAAGUACCCAAUAAGCCUGAAAAAAAAAAAAAAAGGAUUGAUUUAAAUAAAGAAUAAUAAGUAGGGGAUUUGCAUCACCAUUGGCUUCAUUGAUGUGCUGCUUUUGCAUCUUGCAUUUGACGCGAUUAACCAGGUUCCUCAGUAAUUAAUAAUUUGGAAAAUGGCAAUGACCUCUUCAAGGAAAAAUGAGGUCCAGAGGUGACCUCAGAGAUGAUGAUCGUGGCCAUUCUUCCACAGAGGAAGGGAUUAGGGCCAAACUCGGAUAACGGUGAUGGGGGACACCGCAUAUGAUCCGUCUGUCCUGCACCUCUUCUGCAUGUGUCAGGACAGCACGGCCCCACUCAAAAUGAAGUCAGUCCCCAUGCAGGGCAACAUGCAACAAGUCCAAGCCCAGAACUGGAGUCAAGGAUUAGGUCUGGGCUUUUUAUAGUACUCUUGGGUGUCAUGUUCUUUAUUUGCCUCAAAUUGAGAACCCAACCUUGUCAUUAGCCAGGACAUCCUA